GGCGUGCCGCGCGCGCCUCCCGGCGUGCCCUGCGCGGCCGCCCGCCUGAGGGGCGGCCCGGGAGCACCGGGGGUAGCGGGAAUAACGGGGAUAGCGGGGAUAACGGGCGCUUUUCGGGACACGCCGGCAGCACCGGGCGCGGCCCGCCGGCCACCACGGUCAGGCACCGCGGGCGCGCCGGGUGCCGCCGAGCCCCGGGAAGGCGAGGCAGCGCGCGUCCGCCACACCGGCCCUGGGCGGGCACCGGGCGCUGUGGGGCUUGCCGAGUGUCCCGCCCCGGGGAUCCCCUGCCGGGACGGCUGUGUUUUAGUGAGUGACCGUGUCCCUUAGGUGUGGAUCGCCGGCGUGGAGAGCAGCGCUCGGGUCCUUUGUGUCCGUCAGCUCCGGGGCUCCCCCGCGCAUCUCCCGGUGCCCCUUCACAGGGGCCGGUUCACUAUAGAAACACUCGCGCUUUACCCCGGGAGCUGAAUAUUCGCAGUAUCUACAAACCCCACUGCGUUAAAUCUGGAAGUGUCCUUUGUUUGGUGUCUCAAAAUGGUAGUUCAGGGUGGUAAACUGAGGCACGGGCCGCUGCUGCUUUAGCCCUUGGGUGAGGAGGUGACAGCAGAGGCCUGGCAGCUCCCGUGUGGCCAGCACAGCCGAGCAGCUCCGUCCAGCACGGUUCCAUCAGUUCGUAGUUCUGCUGUCAGGGGCAGCAGUGCUGGCCCGGGAGCCCUGCAGAGCCCAGCACGGCGAGCCCUGCUGCUGGCCCGGAGUGCCAGAGCCCUGCAGGACAGUGACAGUGACAGUGACCACAGCCACCUCCAGCGCUGGCAGCAGUGCAGAGAGAGCGGGGCCACGCAGCUCUCUGAAGUGCUGACCCAAGGGAAGAGCUGGCCUGCCUUGUAAUAUCAGUGCUUGAUGCUAGAGUGGGAAGAAGUCCCAGCUGCCAGCACGGCUGAACGGUGAGGAGUCUCAGAACCAUUUUUCUUGAUCAUUCCCUUGAUUGCCACCAGGUACCCUGAUAGCAGCAAACACAGACCCUGCGCCUCAGUGGGGACAGGCAGAUCCAGGUUGCACAGCUCCUUCUGGUCUCAAGUUCAGUUCUUCCCUCAGAACAUUCCUGAAGGCAGUGUGUGCAGCUCACACGGCUCUGCUGCAGCGUGAGCCAGGCUUCUUCAGGGGAGUUUUUGCCAUCUGGGGUGGCACACACAGCAACAGCUACUACAGCUGGGGUUGUGAUUCCAAACAUUCCAUCACACGCUUCCUGCUCAGCACGGAAGCUGGGUUCAUUGAUAAUUCAUAUGUUGCCUCUGAAUGGAAGUUGUCAUUAAUAUUCUCCGCGUGUCGGUGCUUGUGUAGCGCAGCACCUGCAGUGGCUGUGCUGCUGCAGCCAGCUCCUGCACACGCUGCGCGUCCGUCGCGCUGCCUGACCUACAAAAGAUGUGAGCUCUUACAGCACAGGGCCCUGCAAGAGAAAGAGUUGCAUGAAAAUGCCUCCACAGAUUUGAGCUGAAAGAUCAGUGCAGUUUUAGGUCGGGACUGAAUUCCAGUGACACAAAUACUGUCAUUACAAGGUGCCUAAGCACAUACCAAAGGAAAUUGACUUGUAGCUAUGUCUUGCAAUUCAAUUUAAUGAGUCAAUGGGCAUGUCUACCUGUGUCAUUAACCCUGUCACUGGGAUAAAUCACAAGAAAUGAGCAUUUUUUUCCUUCUUUUUGUUCACUAGUGAAUAGUGACUUCUCUGUGGCUCAAGUAAGACUCUAGAACUGCAAGUUUCCACUUUAUUGUUCUUAUAGAUGCAAAAGUUUCAGAAAUCCCACUCCCAGUGGCCACUCAUGUGGCCUUUCCUCUAUAUUAUAAACAUAAGGAAGAGAGCAGUCUGUAAGUGUGUCCUGCUCUAUGUGACAUUCUAAAUAGCAUCAAAAAGAAGAUAAAUCCUGUCUCUGAGGUUCCUGUGUGAGGAACAUUGGCCCUGUGCAAAGUCUUCCCUUGUUGCAGUAAAAUUUUUCACUGAAGUGAGCCCCUUUUCUAAUUUAGUAUGAAGGAAAUGAAAAUUAAAUUUUCAGCAGGUGCUCCUGUUUUACUGCUAAAAGCAGCCAUGCCUGUUUUCAUUCCAUUUUGUGUCUCACCUGGCCUGCUGAUCACAUAGAGCUUAUAGAGAGUUUAUGCUACUUUUGGUGAUGAUGUGUUUCCGUAUCUCAAUUCAAUAGUCUGUGAAAGUCCAAUGCUAUUCUGAAGAUACUGCUGUCACAUGGUUCCUUCUUUAAACUCACGUGUUAGUCCUUUUCCUAGAGCCAAAGGGUGAAAGUCCAGGUGCAAGCAGCAUUUCAGGCACUUAUCAGUUCUGUUUCCACUGGUGUCCCCUGCCAGGCCUUAUCCAAACGCGGGUGCUCAGCCUGGAGCUGCAGCGUUCCCUGGCUCCCGUGCUAGUCCUGGGUUAUCUGCUGGCUCCUCCGUGGUUUUGUGAGGUUGGAGUUGGUGUGUGCCCGGCCUCGCGUUCACCUUCUCUGUCCCCAUACAGUCAGUGGGAUGUUAAAAACAUCCUUUUUCUGGGAGACUGUGAAAGCAAGUGUUGCCUGUAAUAACCUUGUUAAAGUUUUUAACAUAGGAGUUUUAAUUGCAGGUACUUAUUGUCAGAGAAGAAGAUGUCUUCUGUUCCCAGAAUUUUAAAAUUUAUGAGAGCGGUGUGGCGGGGCACAGCCCGUGUCCGCUCCGCGGGUGCGGCGGGGCCGGCCCGGCCCGGCUGCUGCGUGUCCCAGCCGGGCUUGGCUGUGCGCCGGGACCGGCACAUGCAGGGAGCCUGGUCACUACCUGCGGGAGAGAUGGCUUUUAGUCUUACAUUAAACAUCUAAACAGCAGCAUAAUCCUGAGCAGAAAUACUUCCUCGUACAGCAGAAUGAGUGCUCUUUUCCUGACGUACAACCUGUUUAGCUGACAAGCCUGCACCAGCUUUAAUAAACUGACAGUGUAUCCCCCCCCAUUAAAAACGGCAAUAUUUUACAACAAAUAGAGCUAUUCAGAAAUGUAAAUGCCAUACCAAUGCUUUAUUUUUUACAUUUUAGAAUAUUUGUUAUUACCAGAAAGUGAAAAUUGUCUAUUAGAUUAGAAACACAUGUUUCUCAGCAACAUCAUGAAUAUUACUGGUCUAACCAGAGGACUGAGAUGUUGACAUAGAUGUGUGCUGAGAGCCCCAUCAGUUUUAAAGAGCUAGUCCAGGUUUCUUUCCAACAGGACAGAAUAUUGCAGCUUCCCUACAAGGAGGAGGUAGGUGGCUCAAAUGCUGUGUGAUUCAUGGCCGUAAGAAUGCACCACCACCAACCCAUGCAUGGAUACUCACACGCCCUGAUCAAAUUAUAUGUUUGACACAUUCUUAAACUGAACCUUUCUGCAAGCAAUUACACACGUUAGUGAUGCUGUGAUUCAGUGUGGUGCUGGUGAUGAUGAAACACUGCAGGGCUGCUCCUCAUGGCACAUGGCACCAGGAAACAGGAGCCUUAGCUUGCCUUUUGACUACUGGCUUCCCUCUGGAGAACAGCUGUAAUGGAUAUUAUCUUAAAUGCUUGUGAAAGGACAGCUUAGAGACAUCCCCUGUUGCAGUAGGUAUUUUCUAGUAAAUGUACUGAAAGUUGUAAAUGGAAGAAAAAACCUGAGACUUAAAACUUUAGUCAGAGAGCAAAGACACAGAGUGGGACAGAGCUGGCUGUGUCUCUGGGGGGCUGCAGCCUGAGGUGCAGCUUCGGGAGCUCUAAAGGACAGAAGCAGUGAAAGGGUUUGUUCAGUGGUACAUGAGCAGGAACACUGCUGCAGUCAAUCCCUUCUGGGUGCAACUGUAAGUCCCAAGAGGGAGGGGAAGGGAAGGAAGAAGGAAUAUCUGUCCAUUUCUGGAAAAGUUACAAAUUCUUAACAGUGAUACACUGUGAUAUCCUGUGCUUUGUCCUCUCAGGAACUCCUCUUCUUUGGGGCAAAUCAUUUCAUGUCUCUUGAAUACUUGUUAAAACAUCUCCAAUGCCAGCAUUAUUCAUUCAUGUUUAUGAAGUCUGUUUAUUUAGUGCUUCAGUAAAUGUCACCAUAAAAGUAAUAUUAUCAAGUAUUGGAAAAAAUCUUUUCCCAAACCAGUGGUAAAGCUCUUGGUGACUGUGAUGGAAUUAAUCAUCCAACCAGUCUGCAAUGUUUAUAGAGAACAGUGGGUAUGUCUCCUCACUCUGCUGGCUGAAAAGCUCUCUCAGACAUUUGGUGUACUUUUGUUAUUUUUUCUAAGCAUCAUUAUGUUUAUAUAUAUAAAAUUAGAAAAUAUACAGUUUAGGAUGUGGCAUUUUUGGCCAGGUUAAAAAAUGCACUUAAUUAAAAUUACUUCAGAAAGGAUCAAUUGUCCCUGACUCUCUACUGGAUUUUCUGUAUUCAUUCCAAAUAGGAAAUUCUAAACAAAUUUCAUUAAACUAAUGUGUAUUACCUAAAAAAUUGAUAAAAGAGUGAGUUCUGUGGUUUUAAGAGCUCUCUAUGAAAAAGGGAAUAGAACUUUACCUCAAGGUAAAAAAUCAGCAUCCAACCGUGACAUAAGAGUUUGCAGGCAAGACUUCCACUGGUUCCAGUUAGAGCUGCGCUGUAAGGAAAUUAUAGUUAUGUAAUAGAAUGUUUUAGUGAAUCGUUUCAUAGGUCAUUAAAUUUUCUGUGACUGGGAGAGAUUUGGGCAAAGUGGGCUCUGAACAUGACAGGACAUGAUUUUCACAGUGUUUACCCUUUAUUUUACACCAGUACUCCCUCUGACUUAGCCAGGAGUGAUCCACAACUCUAACUAGGAACAAGAUGUCAGACUUGAAUUGUAAAAAUUACAGUUGUGAGGUUCAGUUUGUUCUCAUUGUGAUCCAUGGUGAGAUCCUUGGUUAGAAGUGGUGUUAAUAAAUAAUGACAUCCUGUAUUUGGAAUUGAGAAGGAUUUCUAAUUGAGAAUGAUUUACUAAUCUUAAAAACAGGAAUGAACUCCUCUUUGCUUCAUUUAGAGUCCCAGUAGAUUUCCAUUUGGCCUGGAGAGUUUUUUCUGUCCCCGUUUUCAGGCUUCACUGCGUUAUCUGUAUUCACUGCUUUAUCUCCUAUGGCAUCUUCUUCAUUAUUAAGCAGGGUCUGAGAAGGAGAGAUUGGAUUAGAACAAUUUUGUCAUCUUAUGGCACAAGACAAUAUAAAGUAUCUCCUAACAUUUUUGACAUACUGAUAAAGCAGAUUUUUUGAUAUGAACUGUGUCUAACACAUCUGAUCUGUACAGUCUUCCAGUAUGUUUUAUUUGCAGAGCUACUCUGUGAUUUUUCAAAAACCUACCAACCAACCAAUUUUUCUCAUGGAGGGGAAUGUAACUCAGCCAGGGAUGCUGACCUGUCCAUAAAAACGGAGAACUGCAUAAAUAUGGAGCUUGAGUUUGCAAAGUUGUUUCUUCCCAUGGCAACAUUUCCUAGGAUUCUUUUUUUCUCAGGACUUAGAAUUAAUCAGCCUGAUGGUACAUAACACAGCUGAAAGAAAUACCCUUUGUUUUAUUUUAAGUUUCCAAUGUAACCAUAAUUAAAAAAAACAAAAACCAAACAACAAAACCAAACCAGACAGUGUUGGGAAGGGCGACUGAUUGACAGUGUGCCAGAAUAAUGGAGUUAGGUAAGGCUGCUAGAAAGCAAUUGAAUUAUGGUGAAACAGUAAUUACUACAAUGGGUGUCUGGACCGUAACAUUUUCAGCUGUAAUACCUCAACAGACAGUUCUGAAACAUUUGCCUUUGUGCCACCUGCACAUCUGUAGGAACAGGCAUGUCCACUGCUGGAGAGUGCCAGGGUAGGAGCUCGGUUCUGGAGCACUUGUGUGUGCAGUUCCCGUAGAUCACAGAGCUUCUGUUACAGGAGCAGGAAGAAAUGAGGUGAGGAGUCACUGUAGUGAGUUCAGAAAGUAAAUUAUGAGGAAUAAAAAUGGACUUGUUUGGGAAAAACUCCAUCUCCUACCUUGUCUGUCUGCUCAGGAGACCUUCACCUUUUGUUUUCAGGUGAACAGAGCUGGGCUCUGUUUGCCAGGGGAGCUUUCAGAAGCAUUCUUUGAACGCAGAGAUACCUGUAGGCAAUUUCAGCAGCACAGCUUUUAUUUUCAUUUUCUUGACUGAAGGAGACCAAGCACUGAAAAAGGGCGUGAUUGCAUUUUAAUAACCAAGAAAUCAAGUAAGUUUCAAAUGGCUAAGAACAAAUUCUCCGGGGAAAAGAAACCAAAAGCAUUUCCACCUUCAGCCUGAGAGAUCAGUUCUGGGUUCACCAUUAGGUACUUUGUACAAACUGCCUUUUUGAAUUCAGGGUGGUUUUCCCACAAGGGAAUCUUUCCAUGCUCCGAGUUAAUUAUGUUUCUCUCCUCUCGAGUUUCUUUACUACCUAGAAUUUUAAGCUAAUGUAGUCUAUUUUAGGUUUUUAAAAGUCCUCAGUGCUAUGAGAUCUAUGUAGUCAUCUAAAAAAGGAUUUCUUAAAAUACAGGGAAGUAGAGGACAGCUAGGGAUCAUCCUAGUUCUCACAGAAUAUUGUGUCUUUGGGCUGGAUAGAAUAGUUGUUCUCAAGUAGUCCUGCUAUGCAAAAUGUGUACAUUUUAAUGAGGUGAGUUAAUCCCUGUGUUCUAGGAACAGACUUUGAUAGUAUUAUCUGUCAUUACUUACAGAACUGCAUUAAUUAGAGUGCACAGAGCUAUUCUGGGGCUGCCAGACCAGUUAAGGAAAAACAGUGUUUUACAGGACACUAAAAUUCAGCUGCUUACAAGCACUUGGAUCCAGUUGGGGUCAAUAUCAGCAGGGACUGCUGUACAGAGAGAGAGCACAUACUCUCCUAAGGUAGUCCCUGAUGCUGAGGUUUUGCAAUAAAUCCCUUGCCCCACAACUUCCACCAGCCUUGUUUUUAGCUGAAAGUCUUCAAAGCCUGUUAGCAAACAGCAACAAGUGUUCUACUGACACCUAAGAUGGGGAGAGUAAAACACCAGCAGUGCUAAAUGUCACACUUGGAAAUGGCAAUUGUACAUGUUCAGCAGCCCAUUACCCCCUGAAUAUUAAAAAAUAAUGUGGGUUCUUGCUGGGGGGAUGCAUCACCAGUCAGAAGAUGGAAAGCACAGAGCUCGGAGAGAGCAGAGCCCGCUGAAUGUGCGGGCAGGAGCUGUGCCAGUGAGCUGUUACCUAAUAACUUGGUAAUUGAAGCUUGGAUACAGAGUCAGGGAGCACAAGGGAGCCUCUUGUAGCCUGACGUUUAGAGACCUGAAACUGAAAAUCAACUAAAAUGACUCAAUUUUUUUAUUUUUUUAAUAUUAGCCAUCCAGUGUUUAUGUGAGCUCUGAGACAUAAGGGGGAGCAAAGUGGAGCUGAGCAUGGCUGUAAAGCCAGAAUGGACAAGUGGGGUCAAAUAAGCAAGCAGGAUCCUUUCUGGUGUCAGCCUUGAACAGUGAGGGCUCUGUAUCCAGCAGUGGCAGGCCACUGUCCCCAGGAGCAGGCACCAGCACCACAUGGAAGUGCUGGGAACGCAGGGAGGUCAGCAGGUGCACUAGAGCCAGGUGCAAUGCCUUUGUUCCCAUGUCCCGAGGGAGCAGUGGAGCGACCCGAGAGACACCUGCAGUGCUGACUGCAGGGGGGAGUGAUGCUGCUCUGUACAAGAGGCUUCUGGAGGCUCCUUCAGUGGCUGGUGGUGGCUGUGGUUUGUCAUGUGCGUUCCUGACUCGCCCAUAAAUUUGUGUGAAGAUUGUCAGUAAUUUGAUUGGUAGAGGCUCACCAGGUAAAGGACAGUAAAGGCUGCUCAGGGGUGGUCAGAGAAUAUGCUCAAGCUGGUAAGGGCUCCCUAAAAGGCAGUAAGUUUCCUGAAAACUUCUCCAGCAUGGAUGCAGGAAAAUCAGUUGUCCAGCUGAAAAAAAGACUAAAAAUAAUGUGAAGACAGCAACUGGAUUAGUUUAACAUUCAUGCUUGCCUUAAUAUCUAAAAUGCUUUCUUCCACCUUCUAUAAGCUUAUGGAAAGCCCUCCUGAAUUCACUUGGAGCAGGUCCUUCAAGGUGCAAAUGAAUCUUUGUUUAAAGAAGGAGGUAACACCAAGGAAUACAGCUGGCUCUAACCAGUGGACACAUUUCUGUGCAAAGAUUUGAUUAGUGAAGUUCUUUCUUUUCAGAUCAUUUGUAAUGGAUGUAAGAGCUUGACAUUAACUAUUUACUGUAUCCCCAGACCAGCUUAAAACCACUGUGGAGCCUCCUUAUGGUACAUUGGAAAUGGAGAAGAAAAUGUGAGGACUUGUAGAAAGUCCUUUAAGAUCUUGUAGUAAAAUUAAUUUUCAUGGAAUUUGGAUUGUUUUACUGAGUGACACAAACAGCACUCUACAUUAGUACUGAUUUAUUUUUGUGCACUUCGUUCUUUCAUUCAAGACAAUUUCAUUUUGUGCACUUUGUUCAAGACAAUUUUCAAUUGUCUUGCUUCUUCUGGAGUAAUUUACAUAUAUGCAAAAUGAAUGUAAAAAAAUUAAAUCAAAAUUGUGUCCUUUCUCACUAUGAUUUUGCUAGUGCUAGUAAUAGAACAGGGUGCAAAGCAAGUGGAGAAUUUUGCCUUCAGGCAUGAGUCUGAUUUCAUUGCAUUUUUGUUCAGUUCAUUGUUUUGAUGUUAUUCUUAAUUUAUCAGUAUUUUUACUAAUUAGAAAAAUACUCAACAAACUGCCAUUAAAAAAAUUGUUGUGCAGCUCAACAGCUAAUGCACAUUUUAAUCUGGAGUGUUGAGAAUGAUGGUGAGAAGCAACACAGAAUGGAGUGGGGGUAGGGAACUUGGAAUAAUUCAAAGAACUUGGAGAGAGGGCAAGUAGCUAAUUUUGUUCCCAUUUAUCAAUUAAGGCAGGAUUCUGUGUUUAUCCACCGUGGCAGACAGAGGGAAGGAAAGAGAGGAGGGUGUCAUGAUUGGGUGUUUGGCUGUGAGCACCCCAGCUGUGGUGGGAGAGCACUUUCUCCAUGGCUCAGAGCACAGCUGUUCUGUGCUGUGAGCAGUGAGUCUGUCCACACAAGAGAGGAGCUACCCAGGUCAUUUAACGUCCAAACUGCAUUGGAGUACUGAUCCAAUUUAGGGGAUGUUAGCCCGUGGCUGCUACUGGGAUUGUGGCACAGGUGGAAUGCCCCUGAUUAUACCUGAAUUACUUGCCAAGAAUGCUCCACUUAGUUCUCAUCAAGAAUUUUAGAGAUAAGGACAGUUUUCAAAUUCUGCCUUUCACAUUGAUUCAACAUUCAAUAAAAGCAAUUGCCCUUUAAAGGUUUUUUCACCUCAGUGGAUUAUGCAAGAUGCUCUUAAUUAUUUACACAUUAUUUGGUGGCUCUGCUUUUCCCACUCUUUGCAUCUGUCACAAAUUUUCCAUAGCUUGAAAUGAAAGUAUAAAAUUCAAAAUUUACUGUGCUGAUGUGGGCAUGGUAGUGGAGUUUCUGAGAAAGCUUUGAAAGACAAUCAGGAUUUGGGAGAUGGAAUGGCCCAGUGAGGUUGUUCAAAUGUUGCUGUUUGUCCACACUGGUGGCUCUCUGGAGGCAGUGCACGUGGCCUCUUCUCAAGCCUUACUGGUCUGCCAUAGGAGCAAAGCCAAAAAUUUUUGAAGUCUUUUCCACUCCCUAGAAACCAGGUUGAGACAUGUAAGUAGAGAAAAUCUGUCAGUUUUGUUCAUAUGUUGUGAAUACAUAGAGGUCUUCCAUUUGUAACAUCUUGCAUAAGUACUAGGGUAUUAUAAGAAAAUAGGUAAGGGGUGUAUUUUAAAAUUUAUCUCUCUUUAAGCUUCUCAUAGGCUGAAAAUAGCAUUCCACCUUUAGGCUGGCAGUUAGGGCAAGAUAAACAUUUCAGUAUCAGGCAAAUGGACUGGCUGAAAGUGAGAUAAUAGUUUAUAGGAAUGGAGCUAUUUAUAGCCUGCAGGAUGCAGCCCCAUGACUCACGGUCAGCACGGCAAGGUGCUCUCAGGGGACAGGCCUGGCCAGCAUCUCAGAGCUGCCACUGCAGUGGCACACCUGACAAACACAGAACCAUGGCAGGGGCUGCUGGUUCUGCCUGGGCAGCUACAAAUAGUGACAUUUAAAACUCACUGGCCAGGUAUCAGAUUGGUCACAUCUCACUGAUUUGCUGUAUAUCAGUACAAGGAUAUAUAUAUGAGGCAAUCAGCAACACCAAGCAGAGUGUUUAAAAGAGAGGGUGGCAUCUCCUUUGGCAGGUGGAAUACAAAAUACCAGUGCUUGUUUCAAGUUCUCAAAUACUCUAUUUGUUAAAUCAUAUAAUACUUCUCUGUGUUAGACUUCUCAGUGAUGAGGCAGGAAUAGCAGUUUUGAUCCAUAGCUCCUUAAAGCCAGUGAAAUAUCCCAGCAUUUUUGGAUGAAGGGGACAGUCACUGAUGUACUGUGAUCCUGAGUUGACUCAGAGCGGCCCUGUGACCUUGUGCUAGCCUCUCUCACCAGUUUCCAUGGCAAAACGGAGCUAACAGUGCUCAAUUAUCCACUUUAUCUACUAAACAGGGUUAAGGCUGGGGACGUUUCGACCAUUUAAUUACUCUUUGUAAUGAGCUCUGAAGAGAAGUGACUAGGAGCCGGUGGUGGUGGAGUAAAUCUCACAGCUGCUGGAUAAACUGUGCGGGUAGGCUGGGACGCCGGGCAGCAGCAGAUGCCGGUGCUGCCCGAUCCCGCGGGCUCUGCGGUGCCAGCCAGGGCCCCGCGGUGCCGGUGCCGGCGGUGCCGGUGCCAGCGCGGGGCUCCCGGUGGUGCCGCUCCCGGCGGUGCCGGUGCCGGUGCCGGUG